AAGAGAAGUCAAUGAUGGUUUCAUCUAACAUUGUCUGAACCUGUCUGACGCAUCUCAAUGAUGCAGUGUUUGUGGUUUCUGAGACUUCUCUGUAU
rnacentral:snoRNA from 10 species